CCUACGGGGGGCAGCAGUGGGGGAUAUUGCACAAUGGGGGGAACCCUGAUGCAGCGACGCCGCGUGGGUGAAGGAGUGCUUCGGCAUGUAAAGCCCUAUCGGCAGGGAAGAAGCAAGACGGUACCUGACUAAGAAGCCCCGGCUAACUACGUGCCAGCAGCCGCGGUAAUACGUAGGGGGCGAGCGUUAUCCGGAUUCACUGGGGGUAAAGGGAGCGUAGACGGCCAUGCAAGCCAGGGGUGAAAGCCCGGGGCCCAACCCCGGGACUGCCCUUGGAACUGUGCGGCUAGAGUGCGGGAGGGGCAGGCGGAAUGCCUGGUGUAGCGGUGAAAUGCGUAGAUAUCAGGAGGAACACCGGCGGCGAAGGCGGCCUGCUGGACUGCGACUGACGUUGAGGCUCGAAAGCGUGGGGAGCGAACAGGAUUAGAUACCCUGGUAGUC
rnacentral:rRNA from 1 species